CAAACAUUGAAGACAUGUUCUGAAUUCUAAGUUCUAACCACAGGUGCUGCUGCUAUUGAAAGCAAACUGCAUGCUUUUUAAUCAGAAUAUUAGUGAACAAGUUGCUUCUUAUAUGAGAGAUCCAAGCAGAAUGGUUAGGCAGAUGCAGAUGAGGAAAUCAGCAGUUGCUGUAUUUGUUACUGUUCCUGUGGGGUACAACACCACAAAGGGAGAGGUACUAAUUGCAUAUAAUUGUCGUUAACU